GCCAUGCGAGUCGAGAGUCUUAGGGACUCGGCGUACCGCUCAGUAACACGUGGGUAACCUGCCCUGUGCUGGGGAAUAACCUCGGGAAACUGAGAAUAAUGCCCCAUAGUUCACUACGCCUGGAACGGUGGGUGGAUCAAAGCUCCGGCGGCACAGGAUGGGCCUGCGGCGUAUCAGGUUGUAGGGGGUGUAACGUACCCUCUAGCCUUCAACGCGUACGGGUUGUGGGAGCAAUCGCCCGGAGAUGGAUUCUGAGACACGAAUCCAGACCCUACGGGGUGCAGCAGGCGCGAAAACUUCACACUGCAGGAAACUGUGAUGAGGGAAUUCCAAGUGGCUAGACAAAGUUUAGUCUUUUUGUAACUUUUAAUCGGUUACAGAAUAAGGGGUGGGAAAGACCGGUGCCAGCCGCCGCGGUAAUACCGGCACCUCAAGUGGUCGUCGCUUUUAUCGGGCCUAAAACGUCCGUCGCCUGUUUGGUACAUUCGUGGGUAAAAUCAACCAGCUUAACUGGUUGAAUUCUGCGAGGACGGCCAGACUAGGGACCGGGAGAGGUAUGGGGUACUCUCAGGGUAGGGGUAAAAUCCUGUCAUCCUGAGGGGACCACCUGUUGCGAAGGCGCCAUACUAGAACGGAUCCGACGGUCAGGGACGAAGCCUAGGGGCACGAACCGGAUUAGAUACCCGGGUAGUCCUAGGUGUAAACGCUGUGGACUUGGUGUUGGGGAUUCUACGAGUAUCCCCAGUGCCGGAGUGAAGAUGUUAAGUCCACUGCCUGGGGAGUACGGUCGCAAGGCUGAAACUUAAAGGAAUUGGCGGGGGAGCACAGCAACGAGAGGAGCGUGCGGUUUAAUUGGAUUCAACGCCGGAAAACUCACCAGUGCCGACGGACAUAUGAAGAUCAGCGUGAUGAGCUUAUUGGAUUGUCCGAGAGGUAGUGCAUGGCCGUCGUCAGUUCGUACCGUAAGGCGUUCUGUUAAGUCAGAUAACGAACGAGACCCCUAUCGUCUAUUUGCUAAACGGAUCUCCGGAUUCGUCGCACUAUAGCGAGACCGCUGGCGUGAAGUCAGAGGAAGGUGGGGGCAACGACAGGUCAGUAUGCUCCGAAUGCACUGGGCUACACGCGCGCUACAAAGGCCAGGACAAUGGGUCUGCCACGCCGAGAGGCGGCGCUAUCCCGAAACCUGGUCGUAGUUCGGAUCGAGGGCUGUAAUUCGCCCUCGUGAAGCUGGAUUUCGUAGUAAUCGCGUCUCAAAAUGGCGCGGUGAAUAUGCCCCUGCUCCUUGCACACACCGCCCGUCAAACCAUCUUGGUUGGGGGUGGGUGAGGCUACCUUUUUUUG
rnacentral:rRNA from 1 species